rnacentral:rRNA from 1 species
UACGGGGGGGGCAAGCGUUGUUCGGAAUUACUGGGCGUAAAGGGCUCGUAGGCGGCCAACUAAGUCAGACGUGAAAUCCCCCGGCUUAACCGGGGAACUGCGUCUGAUACUGGUUGGCUUGAAUCCGGGAGAGGGAUGUGGAAUUCCAGGUGUAGCGGUGAAAUGCGUAGAUAUCUGGAGGAACACCGGUGGCGAAGGCGGCUACCUGGACCUCGGCUGACGCUGAGGCGCGAAAGCGUGGGGAGCGAUGCGG